UAGGGAAUCUUCGGCAAUGGGGGGAACCCUGACCGAGCAACGCCGCGUGAGUGAAGAAGGUUUUCGGAUCGUAAAGCUCUGUUGUUAAGGAAGAACGAGUGUGAGAAUGGAAAGUUCAUGCUGUGACGGUACUUAACCAGAAAGGGACGGCUAACUACGUGCCAGCAGCCGCGGUAAUACGUAGGUCCCGAGCGUUGUCCGGAUUUAUUGGGCGUAAAGCGAGCGCAGGCGGUCAAUUAAGUCUGAUGUGAAAGCCCCCGGCUCAACCGGGGAGGGUCAUUGGAAACUGGUUGACUUGAGUGCAGAAGAGGAGAGUGGAAUUCCAUGUGUAGCGGUGAAAUGCGUAGGUAUAUGGAGGAACACCAGUGGCGAAGGCGACUCUCUGGUCUGUAACUGACGCUGAGGCUCGAAAGCGUGGGGAGCGAACAGG
rnacentral:rRNA from 1 species